UGCUGGUAGCGCAGCGCGGCCUCGUCCUC
rnacentral:sRNA from 1 species